GGGUGUGAACAUACCAACGUUAAUGCACCAGAUCCCAUCAAAACUCCGUAGUUAAGCAUGCUUGGGCUAGAGUAGUACUGGGAUGGGUGACCUCCCGGGAAGUCCUAGUGUUGCACCCU
rnacentral:rRNA from 1 species